rnacentral:rRNA from 1 species
UACGGAGGGUGCGAGCGUUGUCCGGAAUCAUUGGGCGUAAAGGGCGCGUAGGUGGCUCGGCAAGCGUGCGGUGAAAGUUCGGGGCUCAACCCCGAAUCGGCCGUGCGAACUGCCAAGCUUGAGCACUGUAGAGGCAGAUGGAAUUCCGGGUGUAGCGGUGGAAUGCGUAGAGAUCCGGAAGAACACCGGUGGCGAAGGCGGUCUGCUGGGCAGUUGCUGACACUGAGGCGCGACAGCGUGGGGAGCAAACAGG